UACGUAGGGGGCUAGCGUUGUCCGGAAUCAUUGGGCGUAAAGCGCGUGUAGGCGGUCCGGUAAGUCCGCUGUGAAAGCCGGGGGCUCAACUCUCGAAUGCCGGUGGAUACUGUCGGGCUAGAGUGCGGAAGAGGCGAGUGGAAUUCCUGGUGUAGCGGUGAAAUGCGCAGAUAUCAGGAGGAACCCCAGAGGCGAAGGCGGCGCCCUGGCCCGACACUGACGCUCAGACACGACAGCAUGGGGAGCGAACGGG
rnacentral:rRNA from 1 species